rnacentral:rRNA from 1 species
UAAUACGGGGGGUGCAAGCGUUGUUCGGAAUCAUUGGGCGUAAAGCGCGCGCAGGCGGCUUGGUAAGUCAGAUGUGAAAUCCCUGGGCUUAACCCAGGAAGUGCAUUUGAUACUGCCUCGCUAGAGUACGGGAGAGGAAAGUGGAAUUCCUGGUGUAGAGGUGAAAUUCGUAGAUAUCAGGAGGAACACCGGUGGCGAAGGCGACUUUCUGGCCCGAUACUGACGCUCAGGCGCGAAAGCGUGGGGAGCAAACAGG